GGGAGUAGAAGGGUCCUGGUGGGCCUCGCUGGCUUCAACCCAGUAGAAGGGCCGUUAAACGUUCUUGGUGGGUUCGAUUCCCAUGUACUCCCGCCA
rnacentral:tRNA from 1 species